CGAUGCCCUACGGGUGGCAGCAGGGGCGAAACCUCCACAAUGCACGCAAGUGCGAUGGGGUUACCUCGAGUGCCGCCUGAAGAAGGCGGCUUUUCCGUGGUGUAAUGAGCCGCGGGAAUAAGGGGGGGGCAAGACUGGUGUCAGCCGCCGCGGUAACACCAGCCCCCCGAGUGGUGGGGAUGAUUAUUUGGCCUAAAGCGUCCGUAGCCGGCCCGGUAAAUCUCUCGUUAAAUCCAGCGUCCUAAGCGUUGGGCUGCGAGGGAGACUGCCGGGCUAGAGGGUGGGAGAGGUCAGCGGUAUUCCUGGGGUAGGGGCGAAAUCCGUUGAUCCCAGGAGGACCACCAGUGGCGAAGGCUGCUGACUAGGACACGCCUGACGGUCAGGGACGAAAGCUGGGGUAGCGAAUCGGAUUAGAUACCCUAGUAGUCCC
rnacentral:rRNA from 1 species